rnacentral:rRNA from 1 species
AUUGAACGCUGGCGGCAGGCCUAACACAUGCAAGUCGAACGAGGCGCGGACGGGAGUGUAAUGUCUGGGACAUUCCCUUAUGGAGGGGGAUAACUACUGGAAACGGUAGCUAAUACCGCAUACCAUCGGAUGUGCACUGAUGGGAUUAGCUAGUAGGUGGGGUAACGGGUCACCAAGUCGACGAUCCCUAGUUGGUCUGCGAGGAUGACCGGCCACACUGGAACUGAGACACGGUCCAGACUCCUACGGGAGGCAGCAGUGGGGAAUAUUGCACAAUGGGCGCAAGCCUGAAGCAGCCAUGCCGCGUGUAUGAAGAAGGCCUGCGGGUUGUAAAGUACUUUCAGCGGGGAGGCGUUACCCGAAGAAGAAGCACCGGCUAACUCCGUGCCAGCCGCCGCGGUAAUAC